UACGAGGGGGGCAAGCGUUGUUCGGAAUUAUUGGGCGUAAAGGGCGCGUAGGCGGUGCGGUGAGUCACCUGUGAAACCUCUAGGCUCAACCUAGAGCCUGCAGGCGAAACUGCCGUGCUUGAGGGUGGGAGAGGUGCGUGGAAUUCCCGGUGUAGCGGUGAAAUGCGUAGAUAUUGGGAGGAACACCAGUGGCGAAGGCGGCUCACUGGACCGGUACUGACGCUGAGGCGCGAAAGCGUGGGGAGCAAACAGG
rnacentral:rRNA from 1 species